rnacentral:rRNA from 1 species
UACAGAGGGUGCGAGCGUUAAUCGGAAUUACUGGGCGUAAAGCGUGCGUAGACGGUUAUCUAAGUCGGAUGUGAAAGCCCCGGGCUCAACCUGGGAAUUGCAUUCGAGACUGAAUAGCUAGGGUGCGGUAGAGGGAAGCGGAAUUUCCGGUGUAGCGGUGAAAUGCGUAGAUAUCGGGAGGAACACCUGUGGCGAAAGCGGUGCACUGGACCAUAACUGACGCUGAGGCGCGAAAGCUAGGGGAGCAAACAGG